rnacentral:tRNA from 1 species
GGCAGGGUAGCUCAGUGGUAGAGCAGCGGACUCAUAAGCCGUUGGUCGCGGGUUCAACUCCCGCCCCUGCUACUA